CCUACGGGUGACAGCAGUGGGGAAUAUUGCACAAUGGGGGGAACCCUGAUGCAGCAACGCCGCGUGGGUGAAGAAGUACUUCGGUAUGUAAAGCCCUGUCAGCAGGGAAGAAAAUGACGGUACCUGACCAAGAAGCCCCGGCUAACUACGUGCCAGCAGCCGCGGUAAUACGUAGGGGGCAAGCGUUAUCCGGAUUUACUGGGUGUAAAGGGAGCGUAGACGGCAAGGCAAGUCUGGAGUGAAAGCCCGGGGCUCAACCACGGGACUGCCUUGGAAACUGUGUGGCUGGAGUGCAGGAGGGGUAAGCGGAAUUCCUAGUGUAGCGGUGAAAUGCGUAGAUAUUAGGAGGAACACCGGUGGCGAAGGCGGCUUACUGGACUGUAACUGACGUUGAGGCUCGAAGGCGUGGGGAGCAAACAGGAUUAGAUACCCGGGUAGUC
rnacentral:rRNA from 1 species